rnacentral:misc_RNA from 1 species
CCAAAUUUCACUUAGCUCAAGGUUUAUUGCGCAUGCAAGCCGGCCCACAUAACAGCAAAGCAACAUAACUACAGGAAGAAAGUGUCAGAAGAAAGUUGCCUAAGCGUUCAAUACACACAGACAAUGUAACUGUAAAAUUAAUCACUUGAAUUACUUAUAUGGCAAAGUUAUGACAUCUUUGAUAUUCUAUGCAUCCAACUCAUGCAAACUAAGAUUUGGAUCAGCAAAACCUCAAACAAGCUUCUAGCUCCUUCUCAUCGUCGCAAUUAUAUCCCAACAAGUAAGCUCGUGCAAAACGACCAGAUCCCAUGAAUGGCUCUGCUUCAUCUGUUGCUGCGCCUUCCGCAGGACAUGGCUCCAUUUCAUCUGGUGACACUAAUCUAUCAAAACAAAGCCCGGAAAUUGUGCAGACCAAAAGCUCAUUUACAGGGUUUAUAACAACUUCUCUGCAUGUAUCAUCACACACGUGAACAUUUCCGGUCUUCUCACAAACAAAAACAUCCCCAAUUUGGUGGUAAGAACACUUCUCUCCAGAACAAGUAUGGUCAGUGACCACCUUAUCAGUCAGGCCUUUGCUCUUUUUCCAUAUAGACACCUGAUCAGCAAUUGUCUUGUCAAGAAUUAUCUGAUCAUCUUUCACCUGAGAAGGAAGAGGAGCUUGACUUCUCUUUGCUGCAUGCAUUUGCAUGUAGUACUCUUUAAACUCAGGAGGGCAAUUCCUAACAAGCUUGACCAUGUCCUCUUCAUCACGCUGCAUAUAGAGUUUCUUCCAAACACAAUCACACAACCUCUUGGAAGGGGGCAAUAGACCCCAUCGCAUACAGUACAGGCGACGCCAUAAAGACUCAUCAGAUGCAGCGUAAUUCAGAAAUUUACAUGCCAGAGAGCACGCCAUAAGAUCCUCAGAAGAAAGGAAUUUGAGGAUAUGAGGGAAGAGUUCAGGGGGGAUCUUGCUCAAUAUCCCACUCUCUAUCCUCCUUGGCUUAC